GUCCCUCGAGGACACUUGAUAAAAGUGGAAUGAUGCAGAGAAGAUUACAUGGCCCCUGUGUAAGGAUGACACGCACAAAUUGAGAAAACUUAUAUCAUUAG